rnacentral:rRNA from 1 species
GAUGAACGCUGGCGGCGUGCCUAAUACAUGCAAGUCGAGCGAACGGACGAGAAGCUUGCUUCUCUGAUGUUAGCGGCGGACGGGUGAGUAACACGUGGAUAACCUACCUAUAAGACUGGGAUAACUUCGGGAAACCGGAGCUAAUACCGGAUGAUAUUUUGAACCGCAUGGUUCAAAAGUGAAAGACGGUCUUGCUGUCACUUAUAGAUGUAUCCGCGCUGCAUUAGCUAGUUGGUAAGGUAACGGCUUACCAAGGCAACGAUGCAUAGCCGACCUGAGAGGGUGAUCGGCCACACUGGAACUGAGACACGGUCCAGACUCCUACGGGAGGCAGCAGUAGGGAAUCUUCCGCAAUGGGCGAAAGCCUGACGGAGCAACGCCGCGUGAGUGAUGAAGGUCUUCGGAUCGUAAAACUCUGUUAUUAGGGAAGAACAUAUGUGUAAGUAGCUGUGCACAUCUUGACGGUACCUAAUCAGAAAGCCACGGUUAACUACGUG